rnacentral:rRNA from 1 species
CCUACGGGAGGCUGCAGUGGGGAAUAUUGGACAAUGGGCGAAAGCCUGAUCCAGCCAUGCCGCGUGUGUGAAGAAGGCCUUCGGGUUGUAAAGCACUUUCAGUGGGGAAGAAAGCCUUGGGGCUAAUACCCUCGAGGAAGGACAUCACCCACAGAAGAAGCACCGGCUAACUCCGUGCCAGCAGCCGCGGUAAUACGGAGGGUGCGAGCGUUAAUCGGAAUUACUGGGCGUAAAGUGCGCGUAGGCGGUCUGAUAAGCCGGUUGUGAAAGCCCCGGGCUCAACCUGGGAACGGCAUCCGGAACUGUCAGGCUAGAGUGCAGGAGAGGAAGGUAGAAUUCCCGGUGUAGCGGUGAAAUGCGUAGAGAUCGGGAGGAAUACCAGUGGCGAAGGCGGCCUUCUGGACUGACACUGACGCUGAGGUGCGAAAGCGUGGGUAGCAAACAGGACUAGAUACCCUAUAGUC